rnacentral:rRNA from 1 species
GAUGAACGCUGGCGGCGUGCCUAACACAUGCAAGUCGAGCGAGAACCGCUGGAAUGACACUUCGGUAGAAUGAAAGCGGGGAAAGCGGCGGACGGGUGAGUAACGCGUAGGUAACCUGCCCCAUACACAGGGAUAGCCUAGGGAAACCUGGAUUAAUACCUGAUGAAGCAACUGGUCGCAUGACCGGCUGCCAAAGAUUUAUCGGUAUGGGAUGGACCUGCGUCUGAUUAGUGAGUUGGUGGGGGUAAUGGCCUACCAAAGCGACGAUCAGUAGCCGACCUGAGAGGGUGAUCGGCCACAUUGGAACUGAGACACGGUCCAAACUCCUGCGGGAGGCAGCAGUGGGGGAUAUUGCACAAUGGGCGGAAGCCUGAUGCAGCAACGCCGCGUGAGCGAAGAAGGUCUUCGGAUCGUAAAGCUCUGUCCUGGGGGAAGAAACAAAUGACGGUACCCCGGGAGGAAGCCCCGGCUAACUACGUG